rnacentral:rRNA from 1 species
CACAGGCAUCUGUGAUUCUGGAAAGCUCCGGCGGUGCAGGAUGAGCCCGCGGCCUAUCAGCUUGUUGGUGAGGUAACGGCUCACCAAGGCGACGACGGGUAGCCGGCCUGAGAGGGCGACCGGCCACACUGGGACUGAGACACGGCCCAGACUCCUACGGGAGGCAGCAGUGGGGAAUAUUGCACAAUGGGCGAAAGCCUGAUGCAGCGACGCCGCGUGAGGGAUGACGGCCUUCGGGUUGUAAACCUCUUUCAGCAGGGAAGAAGCGAGAGUGACGGUACCUGCAGAAGAAGCGCCGGCUAACUACGUGCCAGCAGCCGCGGUAAUACGUAGGGCGCAAGCGUUGUCCGGAAUUAUUGGGCGUAAAGAGCUCGUAGGCGGCUUGUCGCGUCGGUUGUGAAAGCCCGGGGCUUAACCCCGGGUCUGCAGUCGAUACGGGCAGGCUAGAGUUCGGUAGGGGAGAUCGGAAUUCCU